UGAUUAACCAGUCUUUCUGAUUCUGGUUAACUCUGCUCAUUUACAGGCCAAAAACCCACUUGGGCAAGAUUCAAACAAACAUCCAGGCCAGCAGCUUCAAGGGCUCUCAUUCAGAAGCAAUCAGUCAGAAAUCUCUUGGUGGCACCGACAUCAAAGGUACAGUGUUUUUCAUUGCAUGGCCACACCGACGUCACCACUGCAAAGCCUGAUGUAGGACGGAAUGAGCAGAUCCUGCCAGGUUUCACUGCUGGAUUUGGCAGCAUGCAGAAGUUUUGUGAUGAGCUCUACCAGAGAGCAUGAAAAUCCUGUGUAUCCAUGUGGGCUUUGAGUGCAAAGCAGAGCAAGAAAUGGGGCAAGAAACGGAAUGACAGCAGGAGGGGAUGUAUCUUCCUCCACUGCAUUGGAGUGCUGCCAGUCUUUUGGAAGUGCAAUUAUAUUAAGCAUGCUGGGCUGGCCACUAGGAUGAGUAAAACAGCUCGGGAGAAGAAAAGCCAGUCACCUGCUGAACCCUGGGGACCACCACACACCCUUCAGGUACCAUCAGUUACAUCCCUUCUGGUGUGA
rnacentral:lncRNA from 1 species